rnacentral:rRNA from 1 species
UACGUAGGGAGCAAGCGUUGUCCGGAAUCAUUGGGCGUAAAGCGCGCGUAGGUGGCCUCGUAAGUCCGCUGUGAAAGUCAAAGGCUCAACCUUUGAAAGCCGGUGGAUACUGUGAGGCUAGAGUACGGAAGAGGCGAGUGGAAUUCCUGGUGUAGCGGUGGAAUGCGCAGAUAUCAGGAGGAACACCGGUGGCGAAGGCGGGUCUCUGGGCAGUAACUGACGCUGAGGAGCGAAAGCGUGGGGAGCGAACAGG